rnacentral:tRNA from 1 species
GGGUAUUAAGUUAAACAGACUAUAGUAUUUCAAGUAUUAAAGUAAAACAGAGUUUUAUACCCC